AAAAACUGUCCUGCAUCUGCAAGCACCGUGAUACCAGAGAAGAUAGCAAGUAAAAAGCAUUCAAAGACAAACGUCCGAAAUGCGGAACAAAACAGCGCUAGUUUGCUCGCCGCACGGACCAUUCAGCUCGGUCCACCAUCAGACAGUACUGCAAUUCGCUGCGAGAUCCAGAUUUCGACAUCAGAGAUGGAGGAAUUCAUAAAAACAACGGUCUACAAAGAGGAGCGCUUUAAAGGAAACAAAAAAGAGACUGAUAUAACAGUCCAUGUUUUAGAAAAGGAUUUAGAUGCCUGUGCAUUUAUACAGCAAAGACUCACUACCAUAAACACCUCCAAAGAUGCCAACUUCAGGACUGUGAAUUCUGCAAGUUUGCAAAAUCAAAAAAAUGGAUAUUACUUGUUUUCAUGCAAACGGUCUGGAGCAUGCACGCAACGAAGUCGACGUGCCAAAGGAUGCAAGGCCUAUGUUUCCUUUAAAAAGAGGACAGACUGGCUCAACAAACUGGUUAUAGUCGAAAGGCUUUACACCAUUCAUUCAGGACAUGACCCAUCAAGUUCUUCUGAGGGCCACUUAGAAAACAUUAGUCAAGAGCUAGUCAAGCAUAUUCAGGAUUUAAUAUCUCUUGGUGUUAAACCAGAUACAAUUCUCCUAAAAUCACAUGAGUGGUCAAAAGAACAAGGACAUACUGAUCUCAACAACCGAGCUUAU